rnacentral:rRNA from 1 species
AACGCUAGCUACAGGCUUAACACAUGCAAGUCGAGGGGCAGCAUGGUCUUAGCUUGCUAAGACCGAUGGCGACCGGCGCACGGGUGAGUAACACGUAUCCGACCUGCCUUACACUCUUGGACAGCCUUCUGAAAGGGAGAUUAAUACAAGAUGUUAUCAUGAGUAAGCAUUUUCGCAUGAUUAAAGGUUUACCGGUGUAAGAUGGGGAUGCGUUCCAUUAGAUAGUAGGCGGGGUAACGGCCCACCUAGUCUUCGAUGGAUAGGGGUUCUGAGAGGAAGGUCCCCCACAUUGGAACUGAGACACGGUCCAAACUCCUACGGGAGGCAGCAGUGAGGAAUAUUGGUCAAUGGACGAGAGUCUGAACCAGCCAAGUAGCGUGAAGGAUGAAGGUUCUAUGGAUUGUAAACUUCUUUUAUACGGGAAUAAACGGAUCUACGUGUGGAUUUUUGCAUGUACCGUAUGAAUAAGGAUCGGCUAACUCCGUGCCAGCAGCCGCGGUAAUACGGAGGAUCCGAGCGUUAUCCGGAUUUAUUGGGUUUAAAGGGAGCGUAGACGGGAGAUUAAGUCAGUUGUGAAAGGCUGCGGCUCAACCGCAGCACUGCAGUUGAUACUGGUUUCCUUGAGUUCGGUUGAGGUAUGUGGAAUUCGUGGUGUAGCGGUGAAAUGCUUAGAUAUCACGAAGAACUCCGAUUG